CUUUCAAUUUCAAUUAGAGAGAGAGACACACAGAGAGCCUGAAAAAUGGGAAGCUCCAACCACUACUGUCUUCUCCUGAUUUGUGCAAUACUGGCCGUCCACGUGGUGGUAUCAACAUCAUCAACGGUAGCCGUUAGUUUUAUCCCGAUGGAAUCUGGUUGCCGUGGAUCAAUUGCCGAGUGCUUGAUGAGCGGGGACGAAGAUUUCGAGAUGGACAAUGAGAUCAACCGGCGUAUCUUAGCGACUAGGAAGUACAUAAGCUACGGAGCUCUGAUGAGGAACACUGUGCCAUGUUCGAGACGCGGCGCCUCGUAUUACAAUUGCCGACCUGGAGCUCAGGCCAAUCCCUACUCUCGCGGCUGCAAUCGCAUUACUCGCUGCAGGAAUUGAAUUUUUAUUAUUUAUUUUUAAAUUUUUUUUUUUAUUUUCCCCUUCCCACUAUAUUUGGGUGUUUAUAAUAUGUGAUUGUUGUGUUUUAAUUGUGAGUGUACACGUAUUUUUAAGAUGGG
rnacentral:misc_RNA from 1 species